AACUCUUGGCCUUUUGGCUAAGAUCAAGUAUAGUAUCUGUUCUUAUCAGUUUAAUAUCUGAUACGCCCCCUAUCUGGGGCCAAAUAUUAAAUUGAUUUUUGGGACAUGGAGAUGGAACAGAGGGUUGCCCAUUCUACUCCAAGCACCAACCUGAUAUUGCAGUGUCUUCAGAAAUGGAAAAAAAAUC